AAUGAACGUUGGCGGCGUGGAUUAGGCAUGCAAGUCGGACGAGAAUCUCCCGCAAGGGAGAGGACAGUGGCAAACGGGGUAGUAAGGCGUAGGUGACGUACCCUCCGGACCGGGAUAGUCAGGGGAAACCCUGGGUAAUACCGGAUGAUCUCUUAAGGCAUGAUCGCUUUGGGAGCAAAGGUGUGAUUCCACCGGGGGAGCGGCUUACGUAGUAUUAGCUAGUUGGUGAGGUAACGGCUCACCAAGGCGACGAUGCUUAGGGGAUGUGAGAGCAUGAUCCCCACCACUGGGACUGAGAUACUGCCCAGACACCUACGGGUGGCUGCAGUCGAGAAUCUUCGGCAAUGGGCGCAAGCCUGACCGAGCGACGCCGCGUGCGGGA
rnacentral:rRNA from 1 species